rnacentral:rRNA from 1 species
GCCGGGGGGGGGCUAAUACAUGCAAGUCGAGCGGACGGAUGGGAGCUUGCUCCCUGAAGUCAGCGGCGGACGGGUGAGUAACACGUGGGCAACCUGCCUGUAAGACUGGGAUAACUCCGGGAAACCGGGGCUAAUACCGGAUAACUCUUUUCCUCACAUGAGGAAAAGCUGAAAGAUGGUUUCGGCUAUCACUUACAGAUGGGCCCGCGGCGCAUUAGCUAGUUGGUGAGGUAACGGCUCACCAAGGCCACGAUGCGUAGCCGACCUGAGAGGGUGAUCGGCCACACUGGGACUGAGACACGGCCCAGACUCCUACGGGAGGCAGCAGUAGGGAAUCUUCCGCAAUGGACGAAAGUCUGACGGAGCAACGCCGCGUGAGUGAUGAAGGUUUUCGGAUCGUAAAACUCUGUUGUCAGGGAAGAACAAGUACCGGAGUAACUGCCGGUACCUUGACGGUACCUGACCAGAAAGCCACGGCUAACUACGUGCCAGCAGCCGCGGUAAU